CAACAGAAGAGACAAAUCUCCGAAGAAAAAGGGAAGGUGCUGCAAUGGUUAUGGUCAGGAAGGGUAGAGGCAGGAGAGAUAGAAAAGGAGCCACCAGCAAGAAGAAGAGGAGGAAGGCAGAGAAGUAAGGGAAGGAAGCAAUAGGUGUUUUCUGAAAAUAAAAAUAUGAAAUGAAAGAUCCAGAGGAAGGAAUACAGGGAGGAAGGGUGGGGGUCUGCUGGAGAAGAGACCACAGUACAGGAGUGAAGUAUCUGCAAUCGUUAUAUAAAGACUGGCUAUGUGGAGGACAGUGUCUGUACAGUAUCAUAUGCACAGACCUAGAUAUGUGACAGACUGCAUGUGAGGACUAAUUCCAUGUACAGAUCAUAAAAUCCUGCCUGGAAUCUUCUGAUGUAAAGGGUGUCUGAUCUAAUGAAGAUUCAUCAUCAUCAUCUGUGACAGCACAAGCUAUAACAAGGCGCUAUGUACAGUACAGCCAAGGCCAAAAGUUUUGGAAAUGACACAAACAUUAAUUUUCACAAAGUCUGCUGCCUCAGUUUUUGCACAUACUCCAGAAUGUCAUGAAGAGUGAUCAGAUGAAUUGCAAAGUCCCUCUUUGCUGUGACAAUGAACUUAAUCCCCAAAACAACAUUUCCACUGCAUUUCAGCCACAAAAGGACCAGUUGACAUCAUGUCAGUGAUUCUGUCAUUAACACGGGUGAGAGUGUUGAUGACGACAAGGCUGGAGAUCACUCUGUCAUGCUAACUGAAUUAGAAUGACAGACUGGAAGCUUUAAAAGGAGGGUGGUGCAUGAAAUCAUUGUUCUUCCUCUGUUAACCACGGUUACCUGCAAGGAAAGAUGUGCAGUCAUCAGUCCUUUGCAUAAAAAGGGCCUCACGGGUAAGGAUAUUGCUAUUACUAAUAUUGCACCUAAAUCAACCAUUUAUCGGAUCAUCAAGAACUUCAAGGAGAGAGGUUCAAUAGUUGUUAAGAAAGCUUCAGGGUGCCCAAGAACAUCCAAUAAGCACCAGGACCAUCUCCUAAAGUUGAUUCAGCUGCGGGAUCGGGGCAUCGCCAGUGCGGAGCUUGCUUAGGAAUGGCAGCAGUCAGGUGUGAGUGCAUCUGCACGUACAGUGAGGCGAAGACUUUUGGAGAAUGGACUGGUGUCAAGAAGGGCAGCAAAAAAGCCACUUCUUUCCAGGAAAACCAUAAGGGACAGACGAUAUUCUUCAAAAGGUACAGAUGGAGCCACGCUAGUCAUGGCUCAGUCUGUGACUAGGCGCGCCUGCCCAGGCACGCAUAGCAGCGAGAGUGUCUGUCCGGCCGAGUGCGCGCAUCAAAUUAACGUGAAUGGAGAGUAUCUCCAUCCGGGUGGCGUGUACCCAGACGGAGACGCUCAGUAUGGGAGAGUCUCUGUGCACUCCCGGCAUGACUAGGUGGACAGAUCGCCUAGUCACACCGGGAGUGCACGCCUGCGAUGGAGCCACCUCAGAUGAGCGCGGCUCCAUCUGUACAGAUAUUGGACUACUGAGCAAUGGGGUAAAGUCAUUUUCUCUGCUGAAUCCCCUUUCAGAAUGUUUGGGGCAUCUGGAAAAACACUUGUCUGGAGAACGAAAGGUGAGUGCUACCAUCAGUCCUGUGUCAUGCCAACAGCAAAGCAUCCUGAGACCAUUCAUGUGUGGAGUUGCUUCUCAGCCAAGAAAGUGGUCUCACUCACAGUUUUGUAGGCAGCUAUGAAUAAAGAAUGGUACCAAAACAUCUUCCAAGAGCAACUUCUCCCAACCAUCCAAGAACAGUUUGGUGAUGAAGAAUGCCUUUUCCAGAUGAUUUAGCACCCAGCCAUAUGGCAAAUGUGACAACUAAGUGGCCUGGGGAACAAAACAUUACAUUUUGGGUCCAUGGCCAGGAACUCCCCAGACCUUAAUCCCACUGAAAACUUGUGGUCAAUCCUCAAGAGGCAGGUGGACAAACAGAAACCUACAAAUUCUGACAAACUCCAAGCAUUAAUUAGGCAGGAAUGGGCGGCCAUCAGUCAGUAUGAGGCUCAGAAGUUGAUUGACAGCAUGCCAGGGCAAAUUGGUGAGGUCUUGAAAAAGAAGGGUCUACACUGCAAAUACUGACUCUUUGCAUAAACUUAAUGUAAUUGUCAAUAAAAGCCUUGAUACAUAUGAAAUGCUUGUAAUUUUACUUCAGUAUACCAUAUUAACAUUUGCCAAAAAGGUCUAAAAACACUGAGCAGCAAACUUUGUGAAAACCAAUACUUGUGUCAUUCUCAAAACUUUUGGCUAUGGCUGUACAGCCUGGAAGGAUUAGCAGUGGGAGUUUCUUUACUUUAAUUGACAGGGCUAGCUCUGAUACAUCUUAAUCAUGUUCCUGUCCUGAAUCACAUAUACUUUAUUACCUAUAUUUAAUAGACAAAGAUGAGCAACAUAAUUGAUGGGACAACACAGACACUGCAAAUGCAGGAAAAGCCUAAAUCAUGUAUAGUGUAUAUGUUAUUCUGCAUAAAAGGAAUUACUGCUACAUAAACAAUUCUAUAUUACUGAAACCUCAUUCUGUCCUGUCAUCAUUUUUUAUAGGUUGAAUUGUACAGGCUAUCAUGCAUGAGCAAAUCUUGUGUUUUUCUUUUAGUAUAAAGUUCUGUGUGGUUUAUUGUGGAUUUUGUAGCUCCAAAGAACAUUUACAGGAU